rnacentral:rRNA from 1 species
AUUGAACGCUGGCGGCAGGCCUAACACAUGCAAGUCGAUCGGUAACAGGUUAAGCUGACGAGUGGCGAACGGGUGAGUAAUGUAUUGGAACGUGCCCAGUCGUGGGGGAUAACUACUCGAAAGAGUGGCUAAUACCGCAUACGACCUGAGGGUGAAAGCGGGGGACCGUAAGGCCUCGCGCGAUUGGAGCGGCCGAUAUCAGAUUAGCUAGUUGGUGGGGUAAAAGCCCACCAAGGCGACGAUCUGUAGCUGGUCUGAGAGGACGACCAGCCACACUGGGACUGAGACACGGCCCAGACUCCUACGGGAGGCAGCAGUGGGGAAUUUUGGACAAUGGACGCAAGUCUGAUCCAGCCAUGCCGCGUGCGGGAAGAAGGCCUUCGGGUUGUAAACCGCUUUUGUCAGGGAAGAAACGAGUUUCUCUAAUACAGAGACUUAAUGACGGUACCUGAAGAAUAAGCACCGGCUAACUACGUGCCAGCAGCCGCAGUAAAAC